AGUACACUUAAGGAGCAGAGAUCACUGUCUGAAGUCUGGGGAACUACUAAUUGAAUGGGGAACCGUGAUUUAGGUAACUGUGGAUACUUUAUACUACAUAUUUAAUGCAUGAAUUUGUCAGAGACUGACGAAAGAAUCUUUCUAGUUCCUGUGGGGUCAUCAGAAUGGAAUAUGACAGUUUGAGACGUGACAUAGCUAAAUACUUUGUGGACAUAAAUGUAAAGAUGAAGAAGGCGGGCUAACAUCAGGUUACUAGUUUUAGGUGGCUGUCUAACAGUAUGUUUCAUGGCCUCUACUUUAGGACAGAGUUAGGGUGACAGAGAUUUAAUCUAGUCCCCUUUCUUUCAUCAGGUUACUAGUUUUAGGUGGCUGUCUAACAGUAUGUUUCAUGGCAUGGUCUCUACUUUAGGACAGAGUUAGGGUGACAGAGAUUUAAUCUAGUCCCCCUUCUGGGCCCUCAGGUUAAUACAAGACUCUGUACCAAUGAAAGUCUUCCAAGCGCGAGCAUCUUCACUCUGACGCCAGCCAUUGGGCCAGCCCAUCACCACUGUGUUGUGUUUCAUGCCUCCGAGGCCACAGGACUGGAUGAGGUGUGAAAUGCCCUCUUUCAGCUUGGCAGCCACCACCAAUUGGCAGAAUCCUUUUACCUUUUCUGCCUCCAUUAGGUGCUUAAUGGUCUGAGGAAAAAAAACACAAAACUUCAACUGCUUUAUCCUGCACUUUUAACCUUAUCGUUCCCUCUGGCUUCUGUAUUUCCAUCUCUCCCCAGAUUCUACAUAAGAUUAUCUCAACAGAAAACUUCAAGAAGUUAAAUGUGUUCAGUGAAGUGUCAUCUGUAUUUCUAUCUGUAGCUGGCUGUCCACAUGUAGCUCCUCUCCCUUUUCCUCUAUUCUGCGUGCUUCCCUUUCAGGUGAAGCACUGAGCACAGGGAUGUCCAAAAAGUGAACACCAGACAUGGCUUGACUGGCAGGGUGAGUUCACUAGUGGAAACACCAUACUCUUGUCAUCCCAGGCAUGUCCUGACUUAUUUUUUCAAGAAACUUAAUCUGAUGAUCCUGGAAGUUUUACUUCAGAAUCUCCUCAGAUAAGGUUUCCUCCCCCGCCUCCUCUCUUCUUCUAUUUAUUGUGAUGUUUGAAUGGUAAGGACACCUGCAUUUAAAUUAUUAGUGCUGCAUUUAGUCAAGCUAACUUAGAGCUAAUAUCAUAUACCCAUUUCUUUUUACCUUACUCCUUUGUUGAAAAGGUAAUAAUGAUGCACAAAAUGGAUAUGAUUUUUCCAAAGACACAAAUUAAGUCAGUGGUUAUCUAGGGUAAGGCUCUUCAUUUGUAACCAUAUGAUUUUUUAAAAAAUUAAUUUUUGUCACCUGGGUUAAUGUUUCUGAUUUUUUUUACAUCUAUUAUACUAUUCAAAUGCUUUAUUAUCCUCUAUGAUUUCCUAGGAAAUCUGUUGUCAAGGGUACAUACAGAAAAGCUUUUGUGUGAGUCAGGGUUUCUCUGUGUAGCCUUGGCUAUCCUGGAACUCACUCUGUAGACCAGGUUGGCCUUGAACUCACAGAGAUCCACUUAUCUUCCAAGUGCUGGGAUUAAAGGCAGGCACUACAUGCCCCGCUCAGAAAAGCAUUUUUGAAGUUAGUAGGAAUAAAAGGAUUUUCCAGCUCCUCUUCUAUGAUAACAUAAAAGGUUUACCAUCUGGGAGAGAAUGACUGCCCUCUUCCUCACAGCAGUGCUGGCCUUGGAAGCCUGCAGGGCACACAUGCUUGAGAAGCACAGACAGAGACAGUGCUCCUCACCUGCUCUGCCGCGAGCGCGUCACCAUAGUUCUCCAAGAAGUUCCCCACGAUGACAGAGCCCACAAUCGUGAGUCCCUUUCCUGCCUUGAGCUGGGAGGCAAAGGUGAGGAGGCGAGGGUGCUUGACGUGUAAAUCUUCAUCCAGCUUCAGUAGGACGAGCAGCUGAGGCCUGGGAAGAUGUGAGUGAGAAGGGGUGGGUGUGGGAAACUGAUGGCAUCUCCAUCCUUUACCUCAGGAGGGCCACAAAGCAUUCAACUUUGACAGAAGAAUGGAAUCAGUGGAAUGGUAAGAUGAGGGUUCUUGGGUACUUUGAAUGUUCUCAGUAUUAGCUAAAACUGACCAAUAUUCACAGAGUAACAACAAUAGAUAUAAGAGUAAGAAAGGCAGUAAGGUUAGGGGAUAGUUCAACAGUUCCUUGAGCCACAUCAUUUCUUUAUCUGGUGAUCAGCAGAGUACAGCUGUGUGUUAACUAUGGGCACACACGACUAAGCUCUGCUUUGUGACUGCUUUACCUCCAGUUUUUAGUGUGAGGAGGUCCUUCCUCUAGACGGAGCAAAGCGAAGCGGGCUGCACUGAGCGACAGCCCACGGAUACCAUCCCCCCAUUCUUUCUCAGCCCUUGGGAGAAAAAGAAAAAAGAGGGAUAGUCAGUUUACAUUAUAGUGAGUACAAGUUCAAAAAAUAAAACCCAGGAUUCUCUAAAUCUAGCAGUAAAGUAUGUACAAGGUAGAAGAUUAAAACUCAGGCUUGUGGUUUAUCUGUUGUCCCCCACUAGCGUGAGGAACACACUGUGAGAUGGACUGCCCUACAGAGGGGUUCACAAUACAGGCUGCCAGGGUUACUCACUUAACCCUGUGUGGAUCUAUUCAAAAGUAACUAUUUGGAACAGCAAUUCAGAUUCAGAAAUUACUUGUAAUUGUGAUUUUCAAAAUAAUGGAAGUAAAGCCAAAGCAAUCUGAGUCAGAAGAUAAUUCAUUCCCAGUUUUGGAGGCUGCUGGAGGUUUUGGUUAUUUCAGGGUUAAUUGUAUUUCAGAUGAUCCCCUGCUUGAGACAGCUAAGCUGUUUAUAUUUGGGUUAUACUUUUAGAGCGUUAUUUAUGUAUAUGUGUGGAUAUGCUCAUGGAUGUUCAUGUGUCUCUAGAGAUCAAAACAGGUGCCAGAUCCCCUGGGGUUGGGGUUACAUGUGGAUUGAGAGCUGCUGGGUAAGUUCUGGGAGCCAAACUAUGGUCCUGUGGAGGGACAGCAAGUGCUACUAACCACACUGGGCUAUCAUAUCUCCAGCCCAGCAUUUCUUUUUUUCCUUUUUGGUGUGGGAGAAUCUUGAUAUGGAGCCCAGCCUUGUACUUGCAACUUUCCUGCUUCAGCCUCCUGUCUACUGUGACAACAUGCAUGGCCAAACCAGCCAUUCUUUUUUUUUUUUUUUUUUCUUAAAGAUUUUAUUUAUUUUAUGUGUGUGAGUACACUGUCACUGUCCUCAGACAUACCAGGAGAGGGCAUCGGAUCCCAUUACACAUAAUUUCAAGCCACCAAGUGGUUGCUGGAAAUUGAACUCAGGACCUCUGGAAGAGCAGUCAGUGCUCCAACUGCUGAGCCAUCUCUCCAGCCCCAAACUAGCCAUUCUUGAUUGCCCCAUUCAGCAGUGAUGGGGUAAAAUUCAAACUUACCCUUGAUAUUCAAUGUACUUGUAGAUCAUGCCAGCUAUUACCAUAGCUACAAUGGCAUAAUACCAAGAAGAAAUGAACAUCAGAGCUAGACAGAUACUCAUUCCCAUGAAAGAGAGGGCCCUAGAAAAUGAAAAUCAUAAUUAUAAACCAAGAAGUAUCUGAAGAAGCAAGGACUGACACCAGUUUGAGGGGUGCUUCCUAGACUAUGGUGGGGAUUGUUUUUAAUAUGUAUAUAUAAAUAAAUUAAUAUAAGAUAUAAUAGAUAUCAAUGUAUGUUAUAUAUUAUAUGUUUAUAUUUCAUUAAUAUAACAUACAAGGCACAAUUAUAUAAAAUAUGAUUAAUAUAACAAAUUAUAUUACUAUAUUAAAAUUAUAUUAUACAUUAUAUAAUCAAUGAUGCGUUUAUAUAUCAUAUUAAUAUAAAUAUAAUACAUGCUAAUAUACAUUAUAAUAUACUGAUAUAUAAGUGUUGUUAUUACAUACUAAUUUCCAGUUAAUUACAGACACAACUUGUGUUAAAUCUAAAUGAAAAUUGUUAUUAAAAAAUUCCUCAUAUGUUUGCUG
rnacentral:lncRNA from 1 species